UCGGAAGCUAAGAUAGGUUGGGCCUGGUUAGUACUUGGAUGGGAGACCGCCUGGGAAUACCUGGUGCUGUAAGCUU
rnacentral:rRNA from 1 species